AUUGAACGCUGGCGGCAGGCCUAACACAUGCAAGUCGAGCGGAUGAAGGGAGCUUGCUCCUGGAUUCAGCGGCGGACGGGUGAGUAAUGCCUAGGAAUCUGCCUGGUAGUGGGGGAUAACGUCCGGAAACGGGCGCUAAUACCGCAUACGUCCCGAGGGAGAAAGUGGGGGAUCUUCGGACCUCACGCUAUCAGAUGAGCCUAGGUCGGAUUAGCUAGUUGGUGGGGUAAAGGCCUACCAAGGCGACGAUCCGUAACUGGUCUGAGAGGAUGAUCAGUCACGCUGGAACUGAGACACGGUCCAGACUCCUACGGGAGGCAGCAGUGAGGAAUAUUGGACAAUGGGCGAAAGCCUGAUCCAGCCAUGCCGCGUGUGUGAAGAAGGUCUUCGGAUUGUAAAGCACUUUAAGUUGGGAGGAAGGGCAGUAAGUUAAUACCUUGCUGUUUUGACGUUACCAACAGAAUAAGCACCGGCUAACUUCGUG
rnacentral:rRNA from 1 species